rnacentral:rRNA from 1 species
GGAAGAACGCCUGGCGGUUAAUACCCGCUAGGAAAGACAUCACUCGCAGAAGAAGCACCGGCUAACUCCGUGCCAGCAGCCGCGGUAAUACGGAGGGUGCAAGCGUUAAUCGGAAUUACUGGGCGUAAAGCGCGCGUAGGUGGCUUGAUAAGCCGGUUGUGAAAGCCCCGGGCUCAACCUGGGAACGGCAUCCGGAACUGUCAAGCUAGAGUGCAGGAGAGGAAGGUAGAAUUCCCGGUGUAGCGGUGAAAUGCGUAGAGAUCGGGAGGAAUACCAGUGGCGAAGGCGGCCUUCUGGACUGACACUGACACUGAGGUGCGAAAGCGUGGGUAGCAAACAGGAUUAGAUACCCUGGUAGUCCACGCCGUAAACGAUGUCGACCAGCCGUUGGGUGCCUAGCGCACUUUGUGGCGAAGUUAACGCGAUAAGUCGACCGCCUGGGGAGUACGGCCGCAAGGUUAAAACUCAAAUGAAUUGACGGGGGCCCGCACAAGCGGUGGAGCAUGUGGUUUAAUUCGAUGCAACGCGAAGAACCUUACCUACUCUUGACAUCCUGCGAAUUUGGUAGAGAUACCUUAGUGCCUUCGGGAACGCAGAGACAGGUGCUGCAUGGCUGUCGUCAGCUCGUGUUGUGAAAUGUUGGGUUAAGUCCCGUAACGAGCGCAACCCUUGUCCUUAUUUGCCAGCGCGUAAUGGCGGGAACUCUAAGGAGACUGCCGGUGACAAACCGGAGGAAGGUG